rnacentral:tRNA from 1 species
UGUGUUACAACUCAGGGAUGGAGAGCUUGACUAGCAUGCAUGAGGCCCUGGGUUCAAUCCCUAGUAACACAA